rnacentral:rRNA from 1 species
UACGUAGGGUGCGAGCGUUAAUCGGAAUUACUGGGCGUAAAGCGUGCGCAGGCGGUUCGUUGUGUCGGUGGCGAAAGCCCCGGGCUUAACCUGGGAAUGGCCAUGGAAACUGGCGAACUGGAGUGUGGCAGAGGGGGGUGGAAUUCCGCGUGUAGCAGUGAAAUGCGUAGAGAUGCGGAGGAACACCGAUGGCGAAGGCAGCCCCCUGGGCUAACACUGACGCUCAGGCGCGAAAGCUAGGGGAGCAAACGGG